rnacentral:rRNA from 1 species
UACGGAGGGGGCAAGCGUUGUUCGGAAUUACUGGGCGUAAAGGGCGCGCAGGCGGCUGCUCAAGUCAGGCGUGAAAGGCCUGGGCUCAACCCGGGAAUUGCGCUUGAGACUGGGCUGGCUUGAGUGCGGGAGAGGAUGGUGGAAUUCCCAGUGUAGAGGUGAAAUUCGUAGAUAUUGGGAAGAACACCGGUGGCGAAGGCGGCCAUCUGGACCGCAACUGACGCUGAGAAGCGAAAGCAUGGGGAGCGAACAGG